UGGGGAAUCUUGGACAAUGGGGGCAACCCUGAUCCAGCGACGCCGCGUGGGUGGUAAGGCCUUCGGGUUGUAAAGCCCUUUCACCGGGGAAGAUGAUGACAUUACCCGGAGAAGAAGCGCCGGCUAACUCCGUGCCAGCAGCCGCGGUAAGACGGAGGAUGCAAGCGUUAUCCGGAAUUAUUGGGCGUAAAGCGUCCGUAGGCGGUUCAUCAAGUCAGUUGUUAAAGACUGCAGCUCAACUGUGGGCGAGCAACUGAAACUGAUGAACUAGAGUGCGGUAGGGGUAGAGGGAAUUCCCAGUGUAGCGGUGAAAUGCGUAGAUAUUGGGAAGAACACCAGUGGCGAAGGCGCUCUACUGGGCCGCAACUGACGCUGAGGGACGAAAGCUAGGGGAGCGAAAGGGAUUAGAUACCCGUGUAGUCC
rnacentral:rRNA from 1 species